rnacentral:rRNA from 1 species
GACGAACGCUGGCGGCACGCCUAACACAUGCAAGUCGAACGGUGAAGAGAAGCUUGCUUCUCGGAUCAGUGGCGGACGGGUGAGUAACAUGUGAGGAACCUGCCUUUCAGAGGGGGAUAACGUUUGGAAACGAACGCUAAUACCGCAUAACAUAUUCGGACGGCAUCGUCUGAAUAUCAAAGGAGCAAUCCGCUGAAAGAUGGCCUCGCACCUGAUUAGAUAGUUGGUGAGGUAACGGCUCACCAAGUCGACGAUCAGUAGCCGGACUGAGAGGUUGAACGGCCACAUUGGGACUGAGACACGGCCCAG